AUCGAUACUUGCUGAAUGUUUAUGGAGACGAAGCAGUGGGUGUGAGCACAGUGAGGCAACGGGUGGUGUGUUUCAGCAAUGGCAACAGCGGGUCAUCUCUGCUGGUACAGAUUGUUACAAGUCUGGCUUGCAGGCUCUUGUUCAUUGCUGGUGAAAAUGCAGAGCUCACGGUGGUGACUCUGGUGAAAAAUAGCGUUUUGUAGCUGAAAUGUGCUCUAUUAAACUCUUCGUGUCUGUUGUAGUUUCAAUGGAAAUAAACAGGAGGCAGUACUUUCAGAGCAAACUACAUAGUCAUUUUCAAGCUAUUCACAAUUUAUUGUGUUGGUGAUGUAUAACAUAACGUUUUCAAAAACAUUCCUACUUCACAGGAUAGCUAAUUUGUAGAUGAAUGUUCUAAGCCCCUUUUAAAAGGACAAAUCCUGUGCUGUGCCUUCAAGAGUAAACCAGGAUGUCAGUAGAACUCCUGAGUAUAAUUAUGAAGAUACUGGCUCAGUUCUGCCUUUCAAAGUGUACUGAGAGAUAUACAAGUGCAUUCUUAGUGAAAUGUAAUUUCUUCCCCUUAAGAUACUGCAGUCGUCGUUCAACAGCUUUACAGAAUUAUUUUGUAUGUGGUACAUUACCUUGACAUGUAAAGGUAAAUAAUGAUUUACUAUCACAACCUAGUGACAAAUGAAGAGAAAGCAUUCUAAAUGUGUAAAAACAUACAGCAAGACCAGACAAAACCAGGCAUAAAAAUGACAGCAGAACAACACUUUUCCAUUGCUUUAAGCAAUAUUUAUUACCAUUACAUUAUUUUUCCCAGUGUUUUUUCAGAAUAGAGGCUUACUUUUUACAUACAUUCUGAACAGAUUUUCCUGACACCUGUCAAACAUUAGAGUGACAACUCACUGACUCGCCCUCACAAGCUUUUGGUCCCAGAACAACAUCAGCACUCGCACCAUCAUAUACACCGGUAUGUAUUUUGCUAUUUAUGCUAGCGUUUAACAACCAGCAACGAAUUACCUCCCAAGGAAAAUCUCAAGGUAAUACAUGCUAAACUAACUUAACCAACCUCAGCUGAUGUAACUUUCCAGAUAGCCACCAGUUUUACAGGAAGUUCCUUAGGGUGCAUAGAACUGCCACACUCAGGGAUAUGGUUUUACAAAUUAUCCUAUGGAAGGAAAAUACACAAAAGAAGAGUUAUUUAAGGAAGUCGUAAUGAAAAUAAGGUAAAGCAGUGUGCUUGUCUGUAUGUCCUUUUCUUCAGAACCCCAUGAUACCGAUUACAUCAAUAGAUUCCCUUACCUCCAUGUCUACAUAAACAGCUUGAUCAUAUUCCUACAUACAAAUGCAGUAUUGCUUUUUUAAAAAAAUACUUCUUUAUUGCUGGUAAUGAAGUUUUAAAAACACAUAUUUACUUGCAUGCUUUUAGAUGUAUCGAAUAUUACACGUGGGUAUAUGGUAAAUAUUUAAAAUGGUAAAACCUAGGUUGUGUUUUAUAAGAACAACCAAGUGAUGAAGAACUUAUCUCUGAGAUAACUAUGCCAUGAUCUGCAUGAUAAAGUAGAGAAGUUCACAGCAAACUGAUGGCUGCACAGUCAGUGUUUCCUUCAGUGAGCAGGAACAUUAGAUGCCUCGUAAUUCCUGUGGAUUGCUAUGCAGUGACACACCAGCAUUCUCAGUGUAAGAAAAAUGCCUGCUUGUCUAGAAGAAAAUGCAGUGAAAUGAAAUCCUCUUUCUUCAUUUUGUAGUUGAAAUAGCUGUCAUUUUCAAAUGUAUGUUGAAGCUGCUAUGGUAGAAUGGACAUAACUAUUUCUGAUUUAUGCAAAAGGCACAUUAAUAUACAACUGACUCAAACCGGGGCAAAACUUGAAACCUCAUUUUGGCAAAUACAGGUUUGUACUACAGCUUUUGGUCACAAUGCAGAUGUGUUUCUUUUGGAAAAAACUAUUUAUUUAUGAGAAUACUGAAAACUCUUUUGAACUGCACCCUACAUCUUUCCCUUAAUUUUUUUUUGCCUCGACAUUUGCUUCUACCAAGAAAUGCAGCAUCUCAUGAUGUUUCACACACUGGGUUGAUACUGGCUUGGAUAGCACAGGGCUGAGUGAUGCUGAACCAAAGACGCAGAGUAAGAUCCAAGUAAGAACCCAGUCAUUAAUAUGCCUGGAUAUGGAUUAUGUCAUACAUGCAAGUCACCCACAUGAUGUUUCUUCAAUCCCUGUCCAAAAGCUGGUCUUCCCUGUGCACCACUUAUUGUGCUCAGACUGCACGGUCUGAAGUCACGGGGGAAGACAGCCGGUAUCAGCAGAACUUCUGUAUGCUGGCUUCUCCUUACACAAAGUUGUGUGUUCAGAGAGCACACUUCACGUGGGGCCGCGUGUUUAUCAGCCGCGCUCAGAACCAUCAUCGCUGCAAGAGAUCACACGGAGCAUUUCACAACUCCCAUGUAAGGCACAUCGUUUACUACAACUUUCAGGUGCUGUUCAGAUGGACAGCAAGAGGUCCAAAGUCCUUUCUGUAAGCCCUCUUCAAAGCAAAAGAGGCAGAAAUGCAUUUUAAAUAAAAGAGAUUUAAAGGUGAAGGAGCUACAAAAGCUUAAGUAACACUGUAAAUUACCGGGGUCCUUAAGCGAGCAGCAAUUUCCACGCCACACCUACGUUGUCUGUAGAACAACAGCGCCUUUUCCACACCUUAUCCUUUAGGAGGGGGUCUGCCCGCUCCCGGCCCCCCGCCCGGCUGUGGCACAGAGCCGAGCCCCGCACAGCUCCCGCGGAGCGCAGCCCCCCGAGCCGCGGCAGCACUUACCGGGCGGGCUCAGCAUCUCCUCCCGGCAGCGGGAGGCUGCCUGCGGCGCUCCUCGCCUUUAAGAAAAGAGAAAAGCGGGUUACAAGUGGAGGGUUUCUGCGCUUUCAUUCGCCGCGCACCUCGCGGAACCGAGUUACCGACCCCGCGCGCUGCGACCCGGGGCUUUCGAAGGUUUUUCUCAGAGAGAAUCAGAAAAGCUGGGCGCCAACAGCGAACGAACCGCCCACCCCUCCCGUCCCCGUCCC
ensembl:lncRNA